UUCUGGCUCAGGAUGAACGCUAGCUACAGGCUUAACAUAUGCAAGUCGAGGGGCAGCAUUGGAGUAGCAAUACUCAGAUGGCGACCGGCGCACGGGUGAGUAACACGUAUCCAACCUGCCGCUUACUCGGGGAUAGCCUUUCGAAAGAAAGAUUAAUACCCGAUGGUAUAAAGAGUUCGCAUGUUCUCUUUAUUAAAGAAUUUCGGUAAGCGAUGGGGAUGCGUUCCAUUAGAUAGUUGGCGGGUAACGGCCCACCAAGUCUACGAUGGAUAGGGGUUCUGAGAGGAAGGUCCCCCACAUUGGAACUGAGACACGGUCCAAACUCCUACGGGAGGCAGCAGUGAGGAAUAUUGGUCAAUGGACGAGAGUCUGAACCAGCCAAAGUAGCGUGAAGGAUGACUGCCCUAUGGGUUGUAAACUUCUUUUAUAAGGGAAUAAAGUGAGGGACGUGUCCCUUUUUGUAUGUACCUUAUGAAUAAGGAUCGGCUAACUCCGUGCCAGCAGCCGC
rnacentral:rRNA from 1 species